rnacentral:lncRNA from 1 species
CACAAUAGAUCAACCCACAAAUAAAUUAAAGGUAGUGUGAAUUUUGAGAAUCUUAAAAGUGACAACCAUUAUGUCAUACAACAAUAACACUAAGAAAAAAAACUAAGUAUAUGUCUAACAAAUCGAAAGUAAAGUCUACACCAAAAAACUAUCAAAACCAAACAUAUAAUUUGUAAGACAAAAUCGUGACGACGGUGUUUGCAUAGUGUUGAUUACUACAUGUCUUGAUAACUUACGAAGCAUCCCUUUUACAAGUUGCAUUUCUUUUGAUCUUCCUUUCCUGUCAUGCAACACAAGUAUAGCCCUAUAACAUCAUUAUAAGUUACUCAAAUAAAUUAACUUUAUUAGGUUCAACUCAAACUUCCAUAUAUUCAAUGGACAUUAACGGUUUCAUGAUCUACUAAUUACCGUGUUCUACAUAUAUAAAGCAACUACCCUUUUUACUAUCAAAUUUCUUAAGAUGUUAUCAAUUACAGUUUGUAUUGGAGCAAUAAUUAAUAUGGUAUAUUAUUAAAAUUGAAGGUUGCAAAGAGUACCAUAAUAGACACUUGUACUUUUAGGCACUUUCAAAUCAUCAGUAACAAC